GAUGAAGAACGUAGUGAAAUGCGAUAAUUAAUGUGAAUUGCAGAAUUUAGUGAAUCAUCGAAUCUUUGAACGCACAUUGCGCCCGCCAGUAUUCUGGCGGGCAUGCCUGUUCGAGCGUCAUUUCAACCAUCAAGCCCCAGGCUUGUGUUGGGGACCUGCGGCUGCCGCAGGCCCUGAAAACCAGUGGCGGGCUCGCUAGUCACUCCGAGCGUAGUAAUACAUCUCGCUCAGGGCGUGCUGCGGGUUCCGGCCGUUAAAAGCCUUAUUUACCCAAGGUUGACCUCGGAUCAGGUAGGAAGACCCGCUGAACUUAAGCAUAUCAAUAAGCGGAGGA
rnacentral:misc_RNA from 1 species